CACGCUUGGGUGCCUUUCUAUCACAUGUCCUUCAGGAGUGAAUAAUUAUUCAUUUUUAAGGCGGUCCAACAACGUCUGUUGACGUCACGUUCUCACUGUGACAUGCGUGUAGACGGGAUAAACAUCGCGUUUUGUACAGAUCUAUGUCAAGAUAUGGGUUCGAUCACUUCAUCAUGUACAGUUUAACUACAUCAGAAGUACUGUAAUCUGCAUAACGUGACGUCAAGGCAGCAGUGGAUCGUUCAUUCCUUGAGAAAGCCUGGUGCUGUUCAGUCGAAAAUUUGGAGUUCUCCAUCGAUGCCAUUGGAUGAGAGCCUUCAGUAUGCAGAUGAGCAGGCUACAGACUGUCUUCAUCUUAGUCAUCGUGGUGGGAGCAGCAGUAUACCAUGUUCAGGACAGUGUCUUGCACCAGAUGUAUCCUGCACUGACAAACCUGCAAUCAGUGCUGCAGCCCAAAGCACAGAUAAGUCAUCAUCUUGGACUGCGGGGAACUCAGGAGGACAGAAACACAAACGGCACGAAUACUGCUACGGAGGAGCACCUUGACUCCAAUUCUGAAGUACCAGAGACUCAUAACAAA